UCGGCCCUCAUCGAGACUCUAAGGAAAGACAAUUGUUAUCAUAAUUCAUAGGAAAAGCCAACGGCAAAGCUAAACCGAAAUGGCCACCGCUCCAUCUCUUCUCAACGCUCCUUUCCUCACCCCACAUAAAACCUUCCCCUCUGCGAAACCCACUUCUCCUUUCUUCUUCCCUUCAUCUUUCCCUUCUUUUCUCAUCCUCCGACGACAUCGUUCUAAUGGGCAAACGCCUAUAGCUGCAUCUCUCAAGGAGAACGUGGGUCGCUUCAAGAAGACUUGGACUGAUUGUACUAGCUUAAACUGGUGGGUUGUUCGGGAUUAUUAUCGUCUAGUGGACUCUGUUAAUGGGCUUGAGCUAGAAAUUCAGAGGCUAUCUGAUGAGCAGUUGACUGCUAAAACUUCCGAAUUUAAGAAACGGUUGAACCAAGGAGAGUCUGUUUCCGAUAUUCAAGCUGAGGCAUUUGCUGUGGUUCGUGAAGCUGCAAAAAGGAAACUUGGCAUGCGCCAUUUUGAUGUUCAGAUUAUAGGUGGAGCUGUGCUUCAUGAUGGGUCCAUUGCUGAGAUGAGAACAGGGGAGGGAAAAACAUUGGUUUCCACAUUAGCCGCAUAUCUUAAUGCACUAUCUGGUGAUGGUGUCCAUGUGGUAACUGUGAAUGAUUAUCUUGCUCAACGUGAUGCCGAGUGGAUGGGUCGUGUUCAUAGAUUCUUAGGUCUUUCAGUCGGGCUUAUUCAGAAGGGAAUGACAGCUGAAGAGAGGAGAAGCAACUACCGAUGUGAUAUAACAUACACCAACAAUUCGGAACUAGGUUUUGAUUAUCUCCGAGAUAAUCUUGCUGGAAACAGUGAUCAACUUGUGAUGAGAUGGCCAAAACCAUUUCAUUUUGCAAUUGUUGAUGAAGUUGAUUCUGUUCUCAUUGAUGAAGGGAGAAAUCCUUUAUUAAUAAGUGGUGAGGCUAGUAAAGAUGAUGCAAGAUAUCCUGUCGCUGCUAAAGUGGCUGAGUUGCUAAUGAGGGGUCUGCAUUAUAACAUUGAGCUUAAAGAUAAUUCAGUAGAGUUGACCGAGGAAGGAAUUGCACUAGCUGAGUUGGCUUUGGAAACAAAUGAUCUAUGGGAUGAAAAUGAUCCCUGGGCAAGAUUUGUGAUGAAUGCUGUGAAAGCUAAAGAAUUUUAUCGGCGGGAUGUCCAAUACAUUGUCAGAAAUGGGAAAGCUCUCAUUAUCAACGAGCUGACAGGCAGAGUGGAAGAGAAAAGGAGAUGGUCUGAAGGGAUUCACCAGGCUGUUGAAGCAAAAGAAGGUUUGAAGAUUCAGGCUGAUUCAGUUGUGGUGGCUCAAAUCACCUACCAGUCUCUAUUUAAGCUCUAUCCGAAGCUGUCUGGAAUGACUGGGACUGCAAAAACCGAAGAGAGGGAAUUCUUGAAAAUGUUUCAGAUGCCUGUUAUUGAAGUGCCCACUAAUCUUCCAAACAUUCGUAAAGAUUUACCCACACAGGCAUUUGCUACUGCUCAUGGGAAAUGGGAAUAUGUUAGUCAAGAAGUGGAGUACAUGUUUAGACAAGGGCGACCAGUUUUAGUUGGGACCACUAGUGUUGAGAAUUCUGAAUAUCUGUCAGAUUUGCUAAAGGAUAGAAAUAUACCUCACAGUGUCCUAAAUGCUCGACCCAAGUAUGCAGCAAGGGAAGCUGAAAUUAUUGCUCAAGCAGGGAGAAAAUAUGCUAUAACCAUUUCUACCAAUAUGGCUGGCAGAGGAACUGACAUUAUUCUUGGGGGAAAUCCCAAAAUGCUAGCAAGAGAGAUUAUAGAGGACAGCUUGCUUGUGUUUCUUUCAGGAGAAGCUCCUACUGUUGAAGUCAGUGACAUGGCAGUUUCAAGAAAGGUGUUUUCGAAGGUAAAGGUUGGCCCAUCGUCAAUGGCUUUGCUGGCUAAGGCUGCUUUAAUGGCAAAAUUUGUUGGGAAAAGCGAAGGAAAGAGCUGGACAUACGAGGAGGCAAAAUCUAUCAUUUCAGAAUCAGUUGAAAUGAGCCAGUCAAUGUCUUUGAAAGAGCUGCAGAAGCUUAUUGAUGAGCAGUCUGAGAUGUACCCUCUUGGCCCUUCUAUAGCCAUUACUUAUUUGUCUGUUCUUAAAGAUUGUGAAGUACACUGCACCAAAGAAGGGUCUGAAGUGAAAAGGCUCGGGGGGCUUCAUGUGAUUGGUACAUCUUUGCAUGAAUCCCGUAGAAUAGAUAACCAGCUUCGUGGUAGAGCAGGAAGGCAAGGGGAUCCUGGAUCCACACGGUUUAUGGUGAGCUUGCAAGAUGAGAUGUUUCAAAAGUUCAAUUUUGAUACUGAGUGGGCUGUAAAGCUCAUUUCAAAAAUUACAAAUGAUGAAGAUAUACCUAUUGAAGGUGAUGCAAUUGUAAAGCAGCUUUUGGGGCUUCAAGUCAAUGCAGAGAAGUAUUUCUUUAACAUAAGAAAGAGCCUGGUUGAGUUUGAUGAAGUUUUGGAGGUUCAAAGAAAGCAUGUUUAUGAUCUCAGGCAAUUGAUUUUGACGGGUGAUGAUGAAAGCUGUUCCCAACAUGUAUUCCAGUACAUGCAAGCAGUGGUAGAUGAAACUGUUUUUGGGAAUGCUGAUCCACUGAAGCAUCCAAGAAAGUGGAGUUUGGCUAAGCUUUUGAAAGAGUUCAUCAGUAUUGCAGGGAAGCUUUUAGAUGACUCAUUUGCAGCGAUCUCAGAGGAGGAUUUACUCCAAUCUCUUAAACAGCUACAUGAAUCAAAUUCUGUAGAUAUCGACAGUUUUCACCUUCCAAACUUGCCAAAACCUCCAGAUGGCUUCAGAGGAAUCCGCAGAAAAAAUUCUUCUCUUCAACGCUGGCUGGCUAUUUGCUCUGAUGAUUCAACAAAGAAUGGGAGGUAUCGGCCAGAAGUUAACCUUCUUCGUAAAUACCUUGGGGAUGUUUUGAUUUCUACAUACUUGAACACUGUACAAGAAUCUGGUUAUGAUGAUGCAUACAUAAAAGAUAUUGAGAGAGCAGUUCUUGUCAAGACACUAGAUUGUUUCUGGAGGGAUCAUCUCGCGAACAUGAAUAGGCUUAGUUCUGCGGUAAAUGUUAGAAGCUUUGGGCACAGAAAUCCUCUUGAAGAAUAUAAAAUUGAUGGGUGUCGAUUUUUUAUCUCAAUGCUCAGUGCAGCACGAAGGUUAACUGUAGAAUCACUCUUACAUUAUUGGUCAUCACCUAUGGAAUCCCAAGAGCUAUUUUUGUCAUGAAAGCUGAUGCUGGUCAAGCUAAGGAAUGUACCUAUUGCAUUUUAUUGGAAAAAAGUUGUUGUGCCCGGUCUCUUCAGUGGUACAUGGAAGAAAGCUCAAAUAGUACCUUUCUGAAAAGGGUAGAGUGACCAACAAAGUUUAUUAGCAACUCAGAUUGUAAAGGGAAAAGGUUUCCAUUGAUCAGCUCUGUGGUUUUGGCCAAUAAGCUUCACAUUAAUUCGAGGUAAUCCUGCACUUUUUCCUGCAUACCUAAUGCAAUGCUCGACAAAACCUUUGGUUGUACCAUAGAUUUUACCUACAUUGAACAGUAUCUCUGUUGUACAACGCCAUUGAUUUCUUAAAGUUCCCCCCAGCUUGUUUAUAUAUAUAGAUUAAAAAUCAUGGGAUUUUUUU